UACAGAGGGGGCGAGCGUUGUUCGGAAUUACUGGGCGUAAAGGGCGCGUAGGCGGCCAACUAAGUCAGACGUGAAAUCCCUCGGCUCAACCGGGGAACUGCGUCUGAUACUGGAUGGCUUGAAUUCGGGAGAGGGAUGCGGAAUUCCAGGUGUAGCGGUGAAAUGCGUAGAUAUCGGGAGGAACACCUGUGGCGAAAGCGGCGCACUGGACCAUAACUGACGCUGAGGCGCGAAAGCUAGGGGAGCAAACAGG
rnacentral:rRNA from 1 species